rnacentral:tRNA from 1 species
UUCCUAAUAGCUUAGUGGUAGAGCGCUCGGCUGUUAACCGAGAAGUCAUUGGUUCAAAUCCAAUUUAGGAAG